rnacentral:ncRNA from 1 species
GGUCGUAUACCGGAUACUCGGCCAGACCGAUGCGCCGCCGGCAGGCGUCCGACGGCACGCCCGUCGGCCGCUCCGGUGGUGCGAGAUUGGCGGUUCGGCCCGGGAUCGGACCGCGCCUUCGAGUCGGGUUGCUUGAGAGUGCAGCCCGAAGCGGGUGGUAAACUCCAUCUAAGGCUAAAUACGGCCACGAGACCGAUAGUUUACAAGUACCGUGAGGGAAAGUUGAAAAUAACUUUGAAGAGAGAGUUCAUAAGAACGUGAAACCGCUCGGUUGUAAACGGACAGAGCUCGCGAAUCCCCGCCGGGCGAAUUCACGGUCGGUCUAACCGCCGGCCGGAUCUUUCGCUCGAUUAGCGGAACUGCUCUUAAACUCGUUAAUUCCGAACGAUCCGGGUCAGCAGAGGCCAGCCCCAGCAGAGGAAACACUUUGUGAUAUACAUCCCAUAUCCAGCAGCAUCCUCAGGGAUUUCGCCUGGGCCAUAUCACCAAACAGGGCACCGGGAAACGAUGGUAUAACAGGCAGAAUGUUAAGAGUGUGCAAUAGUAAAAGUGUUACGUAUACAACGCUCCAGAGAUGGCGUUGUGCGCCGUAUCGCCGCCGUCGCGGCUGGACAUAACCACGCCCAUUGCCUCCGUGGCGAGACCUACGCGACGUACUCGCUGGAGAGUGGAGAGGCGCAUUAUUAUUUCACGAACAGUCUAGUUGAGCGGGUCCAUACAAUAUUGACAUUGACCAGUGCGUAAAUUGUCACCCGUGUAUUUCUAAUAUACGUACUCGCCGCGCGUUCGAUCCUCGCUAGACUUACUUUUUAAUGAAAGCUCCUGUUAACUUAAUGAAUAUAUCAUCAAUACAUAAAUUACAACAAAUUUAACCCGAUGGCUUGAUUUACAUUUGUAAAUGUACCAGUUCAAGACCAAGUCUCUAGUUUAAGGAGCACAAUAACAAAUUUCAAUGAAACUAUAACAACAUUUAAUGACAAUAAGUUAUUAUUUGACAAAAAUAUUAAAAAAAAUUGAAACAACUAUUAACAACAUCAAUAUUGAAUUAGUAGAUGAACGAAAGAAAUUAUUGUUCCAAAGAUUAAUAUCCCUAAUUGAAAAUAAUAUAUUU